CGGGGGAUCGCAAGACCUCGCGCGAUUGGAGCGGCCGAUAUCAGAUUANGUANUUGGUGGAGUAAAGGCUCACCAAGCCAACGAUCUGUAGCUGGUCUGAGAGGACGACCAGCCACACUGGAACUGAGACACGGUCCAGACUCCUACGGGAGGCAGCAGUGGGGAAUUUUGGACAAUGGACGCAAGUCUGAUCCAGCCAUUCCGCGUGCNGGAUGAAGGCCCUCGGGUUGAAAACUGCUUUUGUACGGAACGAAAAGGUUUCUAUUAAUACUANGAGCUCAUGACGGUACCGUACGAAUAAGCACCGGCUAACUACNUGCCAGCAGCCGCGGUAAUACGUANGGUGCAAGCGUUAAUCGGAAUUACUGGGCGUAAAGCGUGCGCAGGCGGUUAUGUAAGACAGAGGUGAAAUCCCCGGGCUCAACCUGGGAACUGCCUUUGUGACUGCAUAGCUNNAGUACGGUAGAGGGGGAUGGAAUUCCGCGUGUAGCANUGAAAUGCGUAGAUAUGCGGAGGAACACCGAUGGCGAANGCAAUCCCCCUGGACCUGUACUGACGCUCAUGC
rnacentral:rRNA from 1 species